UAGAAGCAGCUGCGCUGACUCUUGAC
rnacentral:piRNA from 1 species